CCGUUCCAUUUGUCAGUUCCGGUCUCAGAACUCGGAAAAUAACUCUUGCGCUCCGACUUCUCGGACAAAUGGAACGUACGACAACUUCCUACAAUGAAAAGUGCAAUGGAACAACAUUUGAAGUCAGAAUUCCAACUUGGAAACUCGUGUGGAAAUGUUUAAAUUCCGAUUUUGCCGAGAUGCAGGUGCAUGAGUUCACACAAACAUGUCAGCACCCAGGUAGAUAUACUAAGAUACAUGAACACGAGCAGGACGUCAAGAGCUGUGAAGUAAACAAAACUAAACCAAGACCUACAGCUAUGAAACAAUCUUCUGGCUAAACCUGUUUUAACCUACAGUGGCCCCAAAAGUGUGUUAACACGGUAACCUCCACCACUCCACCACCACCAGUUGAGUCCCGUCCUGCAUGGGGGUAGGCUCCUCGCCCCUGCCUCUUAUCUCCGGCAGGAUAAGACAGUUCCGAGUACAAGUCCUUUGGACCGCCAGACUAGAGACAUUUCAUUUCUGUUUUAUAUUCAUCAAAUAAAUGUCAUCUUAA